rnacentral:rRNA from 1 species
UACGUAGGGUGCGAGCGUUGUCCGGAAUUACUGGGCGUAAAGAGCUCGUAGGUGGUUUGUCGCGUUGUUCGUGAAAACUCACAACUCAAUUGUGGGCGUGCGGGCGAUACGGGCAGACUGGAGUACUGCAGGGGAGACUGGAAUUCCUGGUGUAGCGGUGGAAUGCGCAGAUAUCAGGAGGAACACCGGUGGCGAAGGCGGGUCUCCUGGGCAGUAACUGACGCUGAGGAGCGAAAGCGUGGGGAGCGAACAGG